ensembl:lncRNA
AAAAAAUUCCCAUUGAAAGAUGUUAAAUGUUAAGUGAGUAAGCCCAAAUCGUGAAGCCUUCACUUAUAUCUCAAGGGAACCCUUGCAGUGGCUGUUCUGGUUUCUGUACUAGCAUCUCUCAGUGUUUAGCUGACAGCUUCAGGAGGUGUAGGUGGACCUUGUGUACCCAAGCCCUUUAGAUGUGUGUGAUGAAGAGGGGCUGAGUCUGCUUCUGGCUUCCCGUGUGGGUGGCUGCAGCGUACUGGUCAUCCAGCUCCUCGCAAGGUUUGCCUGGUGAGAGGUUGUAUGGUCCUCAGUAAGCUGUUUCCUUUCCCUCCCAUUUCUAAUAGCAGUCCUGCAAAGAUGCAAGGGGAAUUCAGAUGUCUUUGGAAAUCAGUUUAGCUCCUCAGCAAGCCUCAGUGCAGGGGAAGUAGAUGUGAAUUUGGCAUCGCUGGUGUUUGUUCCCUGCCAGUUACUGGGGCCACGUUAGUUUGCUGAAAAUUCUUUAGUGUGGUGGAAGUUCUUGUGUCCAUUCUUAUAUUUUUGCUGUUUUCAAAGCUCACUUGGGCUAAGGGUCCUAUCUGUGCUUCAGUACGUGUUGUCUUUGAUCAGCAAAGAAGUGAGGAAAUAGCACUUUGAGUAAAGAGCAGUCCUGUGCUCAGUGGUGAGAGAGGAUGGAGAACGGAGGGACAAUGGGAAGAUUUGAGCUGUUUGCGUGUUUGGCUUGUCCUGCUGUGCCAGUGGUGCACUUGGUGCAGCAAAAAGAGAGGGGUGUCUUUGCAGUGAGCCCAGCCUGGGAUGAGUCAUUAACAAAUGACAUGCACAGAGUACCUGGGGGAGGCAGACAGCUCUGCAGCAGCUGGUUAAUGAGUCUGGCUCAAAUGAAAGAGUUAGAAACUAUUCCAGGAAUGAAGCAGAAGGCAUAGUUGUUAACAGGGACGGAUGCAGGAGGUGCUGGGCUUUUUGAGAAGGACAACAUGAAGACGGUGACUGCAGGGAGGGCAGCAACCUGGAGCAGAGUGGGCUGAAUUAGACGGGGACUGAACUGUGGAUGGUUUGGAGUUGGGAGUGUCUGGAGAGCAUAACUGCUCUGAGGACAGGAGGCAGAUGGAAGUAGAGGUGGUUUUGAUGCAAUCCCUGGUGCAUUGUGUGUGUGCCUGUUGGAGGCAGCUAACACAGCUAAUGUGGGCGCUGCUGGACACUACUCCCUGAUGUGGGGAGAGCAUCCUGACCUACUUUGUUUUAUGGCAGCCACGGGCUGCUCCAGCUGCAGCUUGCUUCAAGAUUGCAGCAGGACAGAGUUUGAGCUAUUGAACUUCUGUUUGCCUCCUCCACCCGGAGAGAGACGAGUAGACGGAGCUGCUCUUAAAGGCUUUAUUGUCUAGCUUCAUGUUCUGCAGCUCUGCUUGUACUAGUGCUUGUUUAAUAUGGAACUGAGCACUGAGCUGGAAAAUGGAAGAGAGGAUCUCAGCUGAUUGCAGUGCUGGUAGACUGCCCUAGCCCUAAAGCUGUGCCUCGUGCUAACAAAUGUCCCUGCUGUUCCUGCUGUGGCUCAGUUGAUAGCAGCUAACAUCAGGCAAUUCUGGAACAUGAUAAAGCUGGUAGCAGUCUUUUUUUUUUUCCCCUUAAAGUUUGAGCAUCUAUUGUUCUUUUGCCUUCCUCCCACCUCAUUAGAUGAGUUGGAUGUUAGUUUAGUCUUCUCCUGAGAACGGCAGGUUAAAUUGGUAAUGCUGUCGGACCUUCCUGUGUUCUGAUUUGAGACCCAUUCUGCACUCAGGCUUUGAGUGCUGUCUAAGCUGUUUAGAGAGACCUCUGUUUUAAAAGUAAAAAAGAAAGCCCACUUCCUGCUGGGAUAAAGCAGGCAGAGUUUGUGCACUUGUAGGUUUGUUGGUGCCGAGCCUGUUAAGAGAUUUGCCAUGGAGGGAAACAUUUCUUUUCAUUAUUGUCAAGGUGGGGAAAUGGACCCAGCCAGUCAGGCCUUCGUCUGCUCCUGCACAGAGCUUUCUGUUGUUUUUUCUUCACAAAGUCCUCUGUAGCAUCUGACCUACUGCACAGGAACCAAAAAGUGAAACUGUCAAGUUAAUUUUUGUGUAAUCUGAAGGAGAGUAACCCAGGGGCAUCGUGAAAGGUAAAUUAAAGUUGAGAGUGAUCUCAGUCCCUACUUGUAACCUCAACCUUGUGUGUUUGUUAUGGAAUUAUAACCUGUCAGUCCAAUUGCAUUUCUCAGCAGAGAUUUUAGAAACAUGUCAUUGUUUCACUCUGCUCUGUGGCGAUGGCCGAUGUCUCUCAGGGACUGUUGACAUUUUGCUGAUAUUCCACCGAGUUUGGCCCUACCACAGAGGUAAGUGAUUGAAGCCAGGGGGAGAUGUGCUGUAAGGAGAGUGCAUAUUGACCCCCUUAGCCUGAUUGCCUGCCGGCUGUUUCUUAGUGGCACUGUGGGGGCACCUCUGUUCCCAAAUAGUGGACCAGGCAGAGGACUUGGCAGAGCAGUGCUGUGCUCACUGUCUCCAAAUACACAGGCUUCUUUUUCCUGUAGACCUCACAAGGUGCCCUAAUGUAUUUGCUACAGGUUGCGCAUUGUGAGAGCGUGAUAGCUGGGACCAUGGCUUUUUCUUGUCAAGAAAAGGUAAUAGUUUGUGCCUGUAAUCCUCAUUUGAUCUAGUUUUAGUGAAAGGCAAGGCACCUUUCCGCAGCUCCAGCUCUCCCAUGGAAGCUUGUGAAUCUCAGUAUCAUUUGGGCAUUUUUCAAAUGCACCCCUGGCACCUUUUCAUUUUCAGAAGAGCUCAGUGUGGUGGGUAAGUGAAGCCUUGCUCUGUCAGAUCGGCCUUUUUGUGCUCCUCUGACCGUAGGUCCAUAUCUUCAUGGAUACGAAGUUUGGAAGUAGUGCUGUUUGACUCUCCAGACUCUUCCUCAAAAUGCUGUUUAUCUCACCAGCCCUGAUCUCAUAUACUGUACAAUCCUAAUGCUGCCCUGUGCUGAUGCAGUAAGUAACGUCUUGGUGUUUCAUUGUCACCUUCACAGCUGUUAGAGAGCACUGGCUCCUACAGGACCACCUGCCAGCUGUGAUGCUAUUCAUUUUACAUCACCGUCGUAGACGACACCUCUCCUUGCUGGCAGACGAGCCAGGGAGGUGCUGUGAAUGCUGACCUCGGCUCGCCGUGCUGCUCUGCCGUGCCGACCCUCCUUCCUGGCUGUGCCGCGUGGUGCUCAGUUGACCUGAAGGUUUUCCCAAGUGCUCUUUCACCCCUGAGUGCUGCCUUCUUUCCUCUGCAUCAGCUGGCAUCCACACGUGGGCACGGUAUUCUGUCCUGCAGGUGGGAAGCCGUUGUGCUUAGGGACAGGGUGACUUCUCUGUGGUCAGAGAGGAAGCAGCAAAGCAGGGAGCCAAGCUGUUAUCCCCUCCCUCGGCACGGGGAGCUCUCACUGUUGGCUGUGCUCCUGCCAAACUGGUAUCCUUCUGUCCUCCUCCUUGGGCUUGUUCUUUCCCAGGGAGUCCAGGGGGCAGAAAGGACCAGUGCUCUGAGGCUGUGUGUUUCCCCUCAGACUGCACUCAGUGGAGGAGAAACAUGAAUCCAGAGCACAGGCAGACCCAGGCUGUGAUAUCUGGGGUUGCCCCCAGCCUGAGCUCAGGCAGUAUGCUCUGCUCAGGUCAUCGGGGUUUGCAGAGAGGUGAGCCAAUUCACUCUGUUGGACAGAGGCUCUCAGACCUCUGGCAGGUGGUUCCAUCCUAACUCUGGGCCCCACCCUCAUCUCAGCCCGGUGCUAUUUGCAUUGUGCUGAAGGACCAGGAGCCAGCAAGCAGCCAGCAGGGCUGUCUCCUUACACUGCUGCUAGACCUGGUGUGUGUGAUCUGAGCUACAGGUGACUCUGCUCUCUGUCCCUUAGGCUUGCUGGGUGACAGUCCCCUCUGACAGGCAUCACUUCAGGAGCACCUGACACAGCCCCUUCUGUGCCAUGAAGGUGUGCAGAGCUGGCAGGAUGUGCUUCAUGGGCACAGUGUUUGCCUUACAGGGCCCCGAGGGCCGGUUGUCAUCACACAGGGACAUCUCUGGCAGGCUGAGCUGAGGCUGGGCACGGAGCUGCAUCCCUCCCUCCCAGGGUGCGUGUUUUGUUCCCUGUAGGCAAUGUAUUAUGUGGUCCAUAAGCUGAAGGGCUGUGGAUACCAGCCUCUGAGUGGGGAGCUUUGCUUGUAUCGGGCUGGAAAUGCUGCGUGCACACUUCUAACCUGAUGGUUGGGCUGUUGGGGGGUCAGGAUGAAUCCUGCUCUGUAAGCUCACGUUCCCUAAUAGCUGGGGAGAGCAUGACUGGAGGUUUCUAAGGUUUCCUGGUGGUUGCUGAGGGGAAGGAUCUCUUUGCCUUUAGGUCUCAGUGACUCUUUGCCCUGCCCUAUGUGCCACUGGGGAGGGCACAGUGGGUGCCUCCCAUCACGGCUGGGCUGGGCACUGCUGCUCUUCCCUCGGGCCUCUGAAGAAUGAGACCGAAGAGCCUUCAUGUGGGAGUUUGCCUCCUUGCUGUGCUGCCCACCCCCUCGCUGGCUUUGCCCUUCAGAGCACAGAGCUGUUUUAAAGAUUUAUUCCAUGCACUUUACAUAGCAAGAAGCUGCGUCUGGGCAUCCUUCCCAGGCAGCUCCGCUGUAUUUUGGUGUACGUACUGUCCCGGGCAUGGUUAAAUACAUUGCUGCCGCACGAGAGGACUCUACACCUUAGCAGCGAGAGGGAAUAUCAGCAGCUGAGCAAACUGCCAGGUCCUGCAGCGCGAGCAGCUCCAGCACAAAGCUCUGCUCCCCGCUGCAUCCGGUGCCGGGAUGGCACCUCUGUACAGCACGCAGAGCUGCACGGCACGGAACGGGGACUGCAGCCCGCAGCCCAGCGCCGAGCUGUCGCACUGCUGCGCUCCCAUCCGGGCCGGGCGCUGCUGUGCUGUGGGCUGUGACUGAGCUCAGGUGGUUCCGCCGUGCAGAAUCCGCUCCGUCCGAGCGCGGCGGCGCUGGGCACGACUUCACUGUGCAGGCAGGAUCAAAGCUUCCCCCAUCGCGGCCUUCCCGCGGCUCCUGCCUUUCCUAAAGCAUCCCAACCAGCUCUUCUGUCCGCUCUGUUCGAACCAAUCAGUCCGACGUUCCAAUUGUACGUGGGUUUGAGAAAUAAAGACAUGUUACCAAAUGCUGCACCCAAUGACUUUUUUUUUUCUUUCUUUUUUUGUUUUUUAACCUUUUUGUGAGCUACUCAGGACAACAAACGUUACAAUGCUCGACUUCUCAUUUAGUUACAUAAAUAAUUUUUUUUUUUAUAAAUAUCUCUUUAUAAACAAUAUAUAAAUAGCUUUACAACAUAAAUACAUUUAUGCAUGACAUGAAUUUACAAACAGCAACGUUAUACAGCCGGCUUCGUCAGUCUCUCAGAAAAGCACUGUCCCUUGUCUCGGUGAGUGUUUGUAUAUAUAAUAUAUAUAAGAUAGAGAGCGCUUCUUAAAAAAAUAACAGAACCAAAACAGCUGGUGCCAUGACUCCUCGUACCGAAAAGAAAAACACAGCCACAUCUUUUGUCCGAUCCGGGGGGGGUCUCUGCUCUUCCGGGCGGUGCCUGCGGGGCGGCCGUGCCCGGCCCUGGGGGCACAACGGAGCUGCUCCGGCGCUCUGCGAGGAAAGGAGGAGAG